rnacentral:lncRNA from 10 species
CUUUUUUCAUUUUUUUCUUCACUUUUCUCCAGCCUUCCUCUCUCUCUCUCCUUCCUUCCUCCUUGCUUUCUUUAUAUGCCUUAUCUUCUGAGAAGGUUGACCCCAGUUCCGGCGAUAGACGGACACUAAGCCCCCCUUGAGUGACUAGAAAGGCAGGGGACAUAGGAACAGUUAGGACAUAAGGGAAGAGUAAAGAGAGGGACCCCUGAUUUUGAUUUCAGGGUGCCCUGUUUGUCUCAUCCAAUAUCCUGAAGACCCAAGAUGGAGACCAGCUACUUGUCCCUUCCAAAAAGCUUCCCUGGCCUUAAUGUCAGUGCUUGUAGGUGAUCUCAGAAACCUCCCUGGUGAAGAAAACCUGAAGACGGGGUCUUGCUCUGUUGCCUGGCUGGAGUGCAGUGGUGCUAACAUGACUCACUGCACCCUUGACCUCCUGGACUCAAGUGAUCCUCCCACCUCAGCCUCCCAAGUAGCUGGGACUCCAAGUGGGUGCCACUACAGCCAAACCUUCAGACCUGUAGAUGGGCUCUUCUUGGACAUUCUGGAGUCCCUGGGGGAAAGGGAAGUCUGAAGCUCAGUUGGCCACCUCUGCAUAACAAAUACCGAGAGCACUGCAAGUGGAGCUUGGACAAGGUCUGGAAAAUCAGCCUUCUUCUGGAUGCCUCCAGCCUUUGCUAUCAUCUGCCUAGGAGGUUGGAAGUUACUCAAGCGGCUCAAGGAAAAGUCCCUAUUUCUGUUGCAGUUGAUUUGGAGUUAUGUGAUGUGUAGCCCAUCAGAAGUAAGCAGAAAACUUUGUGCCGUUUUCUAUCCUGGAAAUAACACCCCCGCCCCCUGGCCCCGCUGCAUUAUCAGCCACUCCUCUUCACUCCUUUCUAUGGCUCCAGAAGUGAAGAGCUCUGAAAUGCCUAAAUUGCCAGAUGGGAACAUCUUUACUGCUUGGAGAAAGCCACACAGGAGUUACCUGACCUGCCUUGGAUGGUGACAUGAGUGAGAAAUAAACCUUUGUUGGGUUAGACUGCUAA